UACGUAGGGGCAAGCGUUGUCCGGAAUCAUUGGGCGUAAAGCGCGCGUAGGCGGCCCGGUAAGUCCGCUGUGAAAGUCAAAGGCUCAACCUUUGAAUGUCAGCGGAUACUGCUGGGCUAGAGUCCGGAAGAGGCGAGUGGAACUCCUGGUGUAGCGGUGGAAUGCGCAGAUAUCAGGAAGAACACCAACGGCGAAGGCAGCUCGCUGGGACGGAACUGACGCUGAGGCGCGAAAGCGUGGGGAGCGAACAGG
rnacentral:rRNA from 1 species